rnacentral:rRNA from 1 species
ACUCCUACGGGAGGCAGCAGUGGGGAAUAUUGCACAAUGGGCGCAAGCCCUGAUGCAGCCAUGCCGCGUGUGUGAAGAAGGCCUUCGGGUUGUAAAGCACUUUCAGUCGUGAGGAAGGUGGUAGUGUUAAUAGGCACUUAUCAUUUGACGUUAGCGACAGAAGAAGCACCGGCUAACUCCGUGCCAGCAGCCGCGGUAAUACGGAGGGUGCGAGCGUUAAUCGGAAUUACUGGGCGUAAAGCGCAUGCAGGUGGUUUGUUAAGUCAGAUGUGAAAGCCCGGGGCUCAACCUCGGAAUUGCAUUUGAAACUGGCAGACUAGAGUACUGUAGAGGGGGGUAGAAUUUCAGGUGUAGCGGUGAAAUGCGUAGAGAUCUGAAGGAAUACCGGUGG